GGAAAAAUGUUUUUGCAUACAAUUUUGUUUGGGCAAAUAUGUAUAAUGUAUAAUUCAUUAUAUAAACAUAUGUAAAGAAAUCCAAAUCCAAACCACACGGGAGGAAGUCCAUUUAAAACAAAAAUAUUUUACAAAAUUUUCCACCCCUCCAUCCGUUUCCACUUAAACCUGAAUCGGCCAAAUCACCUAUUUGUUUGAAACCUAAUCUCAGGCAACCCUCAUUUUCCCCCUCCAAAUGCACACACACAAAGAUACAAUUAAUAAAUCCAACACCACCAUCUACCAAGAAUUUGACGAGCCCAAAAUCCGCAACGCAAGCUUUGAAAUUAGAAUUCAGCAAAAUAUUGUUUGAUUUCACAUCUCAAUGCACAAUUAAUGGCAAUUUUGUACCUCAGAUUCCAGCUUAGGAAUUUCACUUUUCUUCCCGUGCAACGCCCACUUUUGGGUUGUAUAGCAGUCGGGUCCUCACAUGAUAUUGAGGACUCGGGUCGAGGUGGCGGGUCGGAUUUGGCGCUGGCAAAAAAAAUAUAUGGUGGAUUUUAGGGUUUUAAUUUUCAUUCGGCCGGCGAGAAGAAUGUUGGAUAUUGGGGAUUUUAAUCUUUCAUAAUUUCAGCCGUGGAUAAUAUAUUUUUGGGAAUGGGACUUGUCUUGCAAUUUGUGAGCUUAUAGGUCCUUAACAGAAAUUAAGGGAUUAGGGCCUAUUUUGAAGAUUUUUAAGUAAGGACUUGUCACGCAAUUUUAAAUGUUGAAGGACCUAUUUUUAAUUUUAAAUCUAGGGUUAAGAUGUAAUUUUUCCAAG
rnacentral:lncRNA from 1 species